GAUGAACGCUAGCGAUAGGCCUAACACAUGCAAGUCGAGGGGCAGCAUAAAUGAAGUAGCAAUAUGGAUUUGAUGGCGACCGGCGCACGGGUGAGUAACGCGUAUGCAACCUACCUACGAAAGGGGGAUAGCCUCUCGAAAGAGAGAUUAACACCGCAUAGUAUCUAUUAUCCGCAUGGGUUUUAGAUUAAAUAUUCAUAGUUUGUAGAUGGGCAUGCGUAUGAUUAGCUGGUUGGUGGGGUAACGGCCCACCAAGGCGACGAUCAUUAGGGGUUCUGAGAGGAAGGUCCCCCACACUGGCACUGAGACACGGACCAGACUCCUACGGGAGGCAGCAGUGAGGAAUAUUGGUCAAUGGACGCAAGUCUGAACCAGCCAAAUCGCGUGAAGGAUGACUGCCCUAUGGGUUGUAAACUUCUUUUAUAUGGGAAUAAAGUGCCCUACGAGUUAGGGUUUUGUAUGUACCAUAAGAAUAAGCAUCGGCUAACUCCGUGCCAGCAGCCGCGGUAAUACGGAGGAUGCGAGCGUUAUCCGGAUUUAUUGGGUUUAAAGGGUGCGUAGGUGGGUCUUUAAGUCAGUGGUGAAAGUUUUCGGCUCAACCGGAGAAUUGCCAUUGAAACUGGAGGUCUUGAGUACAAACGAAGUAGGCGGAAUGUGUUGUGUAGCGGUGAAAUGCUUAGAUAUGACACAGAACCCCGAUUGCGAAGGCAGCUUACUAGGAUGUAACUGACACUGAUGCACGAAAGCGUGGGUAUCAAACAGGAUUAGAUACCCUGGUAGUCCACGCAGUAAACGAUAAAUACUAACUGUUUGCGAUAUACGGUAAGCGGUACAGCGAAAGCGUUAAGUAUUCCACCUGGGGAGUACGCCCGCAAGGGUGAAACUCAAAGGAAUUGACGGGGGCCCGCACAAGCGGAGGAACAUGUGGUUUAAUUCGAUGAUACGCGAGGAACCUUACCCGGGCUUGAAAGUUAGUGUUUUACCUGGAAACAGGUAUUCCCUUCGGGGCACGAAACUAGGUGCUGCAUGGUUGUCGUCAGCUCGUGCCGUGAGGUGUCGGCUUAAGUGCCAUAACGAGCGCAACCCCUAUCAUUAGUUGCUAACAGGUGAUGCUGAGGACUCUAGUGAGACUGCCACCGUAAGGUGCGAGGAGGGUGGGGAUGACGUCAAAUCAGCACGGCCCUUACGUCCGGGGCGACACACGUGUUACAAUGGGAGGUACAGAGGGUUGCUACUUGGCGACAAGAUGCCAAUCUCCAAAAACCUCUCUCAGUUCGGAUCGGAGUCUGCAACUCGACUCCGUGAAGCUGGAUUCGCUAGUAAUCGCGCAUCAGCCAUGGCGCGGUGAAUACGUUCCCGGGCCUUGUACACACCGCCCGUCAAGCCAUGGAAGCCGGGGGUACCUAAAGUACGCGAGCGCAAGCAGCGUCCUAGGGUAAAACCGGUAACUGGGG
rnacentral:rRNA from 1 species